rnacentral:rRNA from 1 species
UGGGGAAUUUUGGACAAUGGGCGCAAGCCUGAUCCAGCCAUGCCGCGUGGGUGAAGAAGGCCUUCGGGUUGUAAAGCCCUUUCGGCCGGGAAGAAAACGUGCGGGCGAACAGUCUGCAUGGAUGACGGUACCGGAAGAAGAAGCACCGGCUAACUACGUGCCAGCAGCCGCGGUAAUACGUAGGGUGCGAGCGUUAAUCGGAAUUAUUGGGCGUAAAGAGUGCGCAGGCGGCGCCAUAAGACAGCUGUGAAAUCCCCGGGCUUAACCUGGGAACUGCGGUUGUGACUGUGGUGCUAGAGUACGGCAGAGGGAGGUGGAAUUCCUGGUGUAGCAGUGAAAUGCAUAGAGAUCAGGAGGAACACCGAUGGCGAAGGCAGCCUCCUGGGCUGAUACUGACGCUCAUGCACGAAAGCGUGGGGAGCAAACA